rnacentral:rRNA from 1 species
UUUUUAGCAGUGAGGAAAUAUUGGUCAAUAGCCUAACGGCUGAACCAGCAACUAGGAGGAAUGUAAAACUACUGUAAAAAGAAGUUUUCUAUAUUUGUAAAUCGUUAAUCAAAAUAGAGUUAACGAAGUUAAGUAAAAUUCUGAAUAGAGAUUGAUAAUGACAGUUUCUAUGAAUAUGUCUUGACCAAUUCAUGUGCCAGCAGUCGCGGUAACACAUGUAAGACUGGUGUUAUUCAUCUUUAAAAGGUUUAAAGGGUACCUAGACAGUUUAUUAAGCCUAAAACGGGAACUAAUUUAACUAGAGUUUAAUGUAAGAAGAAUAGUACGGUGGUGAAGAGAUAAAAUUCGGUGAUACUGCUUAGAAACUGGCAAAAGCGAAGGCAAUCUUCUAUGUAAAAACUGACGUUGAGGGACGAAGGCUCGAUAAAAAUAAUAGGAUUAGAUACCCUAGUAUUGUGGGCAGAAAAUGAUGAAUGUCAUAUGCAAGAAAUAUUUUGUGUAUAAAUGAAAGUGUAAGCAUUCCACCUCAAGAGUAAUAUGGCAACAUAUAAACUGAAAUCAUUAGACCGUUUCUGAAACUCGUAGUGAAGUAUGUUGUUUAAUUUGAUGAUCCACAAAGAACCUUACCACAAUUUGAAUAAUUAAUUACAAGCGUUGCACGGCUGUCUUCAGUUAAUGUCGUGAGACUUUGGUUAGAUCCAUUAAAUUAACGUAUUCCCUUACUUUAUUUAUUAUAAAAUAGUUCGCCGCUAUACAGGUAGUGAUAUAAGGGACCAAGACAAGUCAUCAUGGCCUA